ACUGACACGCAGUAGUUGGGCUGAAUACUUUGCAUCUUACUUGGCCCGAUUAUGGUUUGAUGGGCUACUGCCGGAGUUCGGCAGACGGAUCUCAUACAGCGUGUGGGCCGAUACUUACAGAACGGACACUGAUCAGUAGCAUUGAUGUUGGCGGCAAAAUUGAAAUAGUAAACGGCAGACGGAAACUAAACGUACAUGGCCCGAUUCUGUAAAGUGACUGUCGGCCCAUUACAUGUGGAAGAGCGGUGGAACAAAUAUUAACUGAAGAUUGAAACCAGAACGGCGCGAAACUGUCUCGUUUUGGACACUGUCUGUGGCAGCACGGACCAGAGACCUGCUUCUUUGGAUGAAGCUUAGUGGUGGCGUUGGAAGACAGGAGAUAUAUGCUUUGGGUUUGCGUCAUCCACUACGUCAGCAAAGAACAGGAUCGGGGAAUGACUACAUGGCCAACUGCAUCUCGUGGAAGUUGUUCUGAAGAUGCGAUGCGUGAAGGAAGGAAGUCCACAAGCAUGUGUGCUUCAGGUGUGUAAAUGUGUUGACAUACCUUGUGUGUUAUAUAAUGUGUUCAGUCAUCAUCAUAACUGUAUAAGGAUGUGUCAGACAAUAAAUUAAUUUUGUUUUCUUUUGAAAUUUCAUGCAUUUCGGCUGGCUGAAUGGGAAGAACUCUUUGACCAACCCCCAACUGAGAGAGCUGAGCGAAGUGGCUAUCAGUAAGUCUAUUUGUGGGGACAGACUUACUCUGACAGAUGACAUCUUACAAACUAUGCUGUAGAUCUCAUAAUGAUCUUGCAAUAUGUAUUCUUUUAUAACUAAAUGCAGUUUGGAGAUAUUCCCCAGCUGCUAGUGAUGAUGCAACAUGUGUAGGCAAUAACUAAGCAGCAACAGAAAGAUAAGGCACUUUGUGUGUGUGUGUGUGUGUGUGUGUGUGUGUGUGUGUGUGUGUGUGUGUGUGUGUGUGUGUGUGUGUGUGUGUGUGUGUGUGUGUGUGUGUGUGUGGUAGCUGGCUAGGUUAUGGUACAUGGUAACCCACAGCCCACCCCGCUGACAUUGAAAUUACUCUUUUAGAGAGAGAGAG